GAUGAACGCUGGCGGCGUGCCUAAUACAUGCAAGUCGAGCGAACAGACGAGGAGCUUGCUCCUCUGACGUUAGCGGCGGACGGGUGAGUAACACGUGGAUAACCUACCUAUAAGACUGGGAUAACUUCGGGAAACCGGAGCUAAUACCGGAUAAUAUAUUGAACCGCAUGGUUCAAUAGUGAAAGACGGUUUUGCUGUCACUUAUAGAUGGAUCCGCGCCGCAUUAGCUAGUUGGUAAGGUAACGGCUUACCAAGGCAACGAUGCGUAGCCGACCUGAGAGGGUGAUCGGCCACACUGGAACUGAGACGCGGUCCAGACUCCUACGGGAGGCAGCAGUAGGGAAUCUUCCGCAAUGGGCGAAAGCCUGACGGAGCAACGCCGCGUGAGUGAUGAAGGUCUUCGGAUCGUAAAACUCUGUUAUUAGGGAAGAACAAAUGUGUAAGUAACUAUGCACGUCUUGACGGUACCUAAGCAGAAAGCCACGGCUAACUACGU
rnacentral:rRNA from 1 species